CAUUCUCGCUUGGAGAAGUAUUUUGCAGUCAAAGAAGGUAAAAUGGCUGAAAAUAUUGCUGACAAUGGAACCCACCCUGCUUUCACUCCAGAUGCAAUGGGGAGUUGCAGAUCAAAGAUGAAAGAUGCAUCUUCCUUCACAGUGGCUUCACCUGUGGUGAUUCUGAGUGACAGUGAUGAAGAGAGGCCUGUGGAUGAAGGGGCCUCUCUACCAAACCUCUUUGGUUCAGAAGGUUUGGGACAAACAGAGAAACCAUCUUCCACUCGCAAAAGCCAAGAAAAGAAAGAAAAGCACGUGGUGAAGAGGAAAAGAAGCUUGAGGAAGAGCCAUGAUGGUGGGGUUUCUGUUUCUCCACGGAAGAAAAUGAAUCUUCAAGAUCUGCAGGACCAUAGAGUGAGCUUGAGAAGUUGCAGCCGUGGCGGUGAUGGAUCAAAGGGCGGUGGAGACUGUGCAGUAGCCCCUUCGAAAAGAGGCAGUUCUAUCGAUUCAGAAGAUUCAGAUACUUACUUGGGAUCCCAGAAAGGGAAAGGAAGAGGGCCAUGGCUGCUUGAACCUGAUAUGUGUUUGGCGUUUGAAGAUGAUCCCGAACUGUGUAUGGAUGCUGUUUGUGCACUUUAUCGACUGCAACUUUCCCUCCCAUCAUCCUCAAAACGCUUGGAUAAAGAACUCGAUAUAGUCAGGUUGGCCAAGUAUCUCAUCCACGACGAUCCAGAGAAGAAGCUGAAACGAUCGGUUAGAGAAGUGAGCAAAGACAUCGUUGUUGAGUGUAAAAGAUUGGCUCUCCAUCACAGUGCGGAGUUGUUUCGAGUAUACUGUAGUGGUAAGGAUCUUUUCUUCUGUUACAGUGCUAUAUGCUCCAUGUUCUAGUUUGCUGCAAAUUAAGCAAAGUGUGUACAUAUUUGCUUAGUUUCACAGUCUUUUGAUGUUCUUAGGAUCAACCCCAACAUCAGUAUUCACAUUCGAUAAUGUUUUGGUGUUCUUAGGAUGAAUCCCAGCAUCAAAUCUUGAUGCUUCAUAGUUUGACAUUGUUUAGUUUCAUGGUUACCUUAGCAAGUACCAUAAAUCAAUGCCUAUCUAACUGCUUUUUAUUUUUAAAGC